rnacentral:tRNA from 1 species
GCGCAUGUAGCUCAGGUGGAUAGAGCAGCGGCCUUCUAAGCCGACGGUCGGGGGUUCGAAUCCUCCCUUGCGCG